AUACGGAGGGUGCAAGCGUUGUUCGGAAUUACAGGGCGUAAAGCGCGCGUAGGCGGUCUGUUAUGUCAGAUGUGAAAGUCCUCGGCUCAACCGGGGAAGUGCAUUUGAAACUGGCAGACUUGAGUACUGGAGGGGGUGGUGGAAUUCCCGGUGUAGAGGUGAAAUUCGUAGAUAUCGGGAGGAAUACCGGUGGCGAAGGCGACCACCUGGCCAGAUACUGACGCUGAGGUGCGAAAGCGUGGGGAGCAAACAGGAUUAGAAACCCUAGUAGUCC
rnacentral:rRNA from 1 species